AGCUCAGUGGUGUAUAACAUAUUGGAUUGCAAGUCUGAAGACGCAGGCCAGCCCCCUGCCUGGGCUU
rnacentral:tRNA from 1 species